GUUCACCUUGGUGGCUGCUGUGAUUUACUUUCACCCCUUUCUUGCAUGCUUUGAUCCAAGGAGCAGCCUGGCAGAGAGACGCAACUGGAGAGAGAGUCAUCACAGUGCAAAAUACGUGGUUCUUGAAAUCAUGCUAGGAGUUUAACGUGAGGAGCAGAAAUAAUUCCUGCUGAAUCAUCAGGACCCUUUCAUCUUUGCCUGAUCUGCAUGUUUACAAUUACAAGGAAGCCAGAAACAUAAGAACCAUUAGAGAAUUCCCAAUAUGGCAGUGUGCAGGAACAUCUCUGGACCAUUGUGUCCACAGUGGCACAGGAGAACAACCUU